UGGGAAGUCCUCCAAAGUUUUCUAAAAUAUAAUGUACUAGAAGACUUCCACUACAAGAAAAAUGGGCAUUGAUAGCACAUUACGAUAGCAGUAUUUUCAAAACUGCUAUGAGAGAUCAAGUUCUGAUUUUGGUUUAUAUUGAUAGCACUUAAUUAACGCUAUUGUAAAAAAUUAGUGAGCGGGAAAAGAAAAGCACUACUACCUGCCAAUACUUAGGUAAAAAUUAGAAAAACGCCAAAAGAUAAUUUUUCUUUUUAUUCGAUAGCACAUUACGAUAGCUUUGUUUUGAGAACUGUUAUGAAAAAUCAAUUUCUAAUCUUUGAAACCCUAAACCCUAAACAUGUUUUAAACCCCUAAACUCUAAACAUAAGCCUUAAAACUCUAUUUUUUUCAAACUAUAAUUUGAAUCAUAAACUUAAACUCAAAAUUAUUCUUUUUAAUCUUAAUCUAUAAUUUCCAAAAAACACAAACCUUAAAUAUUUUGUCAAACUCUAUACCCCGAACAUACAUUUAAACCUAAACUUUAUACAUAAACCUUAUACUCCAAAUUAUAAAUAUAAACACUAACAUAUUGUAUUCAACACCCCCAUUGUUCAAACUUUGAUUCCAAAUCUUAAAUUAGAACUCAAAAUUUAGUUAUAUUCACAAUUUUAUUUCAAAUUCUUAGAACUAACCAUUAACAUUACACUUCAAACCUAAACUCUACAUCCAAACUUAAAGUCUAAUAUUAUCUACUUAAACUAAAAUAGCUCUACACUCAAAUUUUCAAAAAUAAUACAAAUCUUAGACCAAACUCCAAUUUUGUUUAAUUCAAAACACUCUAUCAUAAAUAUUAAUCUUAAAAUGUUAGUCAGUACUCUAAUUAUUUAUAUUUAUUCACAUUUUAUCAUACUUUAAAUUUAACUACAAGUACAUUUUACAAUUUUAUUCCCAAUUUGUAAGUUUUAAAACUCAAAAUUUAAAUUAUAAACUACAAAUUAGAAAUUUCUGAAUAAAACAUAACUUAUAAAAAUUACAAAAAACAAAAAUCAUAAAAUAAUGAAAGACAAGACAAAAAAGAAAGAAGAUAAAGUUAGUGGCCAAUUAUAACCAUAUAAACCACAAAAUAAAACAUAACUAUUAAAUGUAUUAAACAUAUAAACUACAUUAAAACUCUAAACUAAGUUUAUAUGAAAAUAAAUUAAAAAGAGAGAUAAAGUUUUUUGACCAAUAAGAAACAGAUACAAGGAUAACCUCGUGAGCUGUUGGAUUAAUCUAAAUCUAAAAGGUUCAGAUUUAUUCUUCUCUCUCUGUUUCUCUCCGCCGACAGAAUUCCCUCAUUCUCUUCACUUUUUUUUGUUUGAAUCUUCUCUUCUUCCUCAUGUUAUAUUUUUCAAAUUUGGUAAAUAGAGUACAUAUGAAGACAAUAAUGGAGUUUAAGAAGAUGAAGACUCGCUGGUGACGAAGACCCGGAGACGAAACCACGGCGGAGCUCAAGGUCGCCGUCACGCCAUCAUAUCACAUGUGCUCAAGCUCAAUGUCACACCAUCUUGUCAAUCUCGUCGUCACGCCAUCUGCUCGAUCUCGCCGUCAAUUUAACCUAACAGAGAGGAGGAAAAUUAUUCCCAAACCUUCAUUAUUCCUUUUCACUUCUUGCUCCUUAAUAUGCCGACUCAUGGAUCUGAUGGGUUUUUUAUGAUUUGAGAAGGUGGUGGUGUUAUAAUCGAAGGUGGUGGUGGUAGCGUAACGAAUCAGUGGUCUCCUUCUCGUCAGUGGCGGAGCAUGGAGGAGGCAGAAAAGCUAUGCCUCUGGUUCAGACCAGUCUUCAUUCUGGUGGUGAAGACGGUCUAGCAGUCCAGUGUCUUCUCCGGUCGUCUUCGCAGCUGCAACGGUGGUGUUCUCAGUCGCCAUCAAUGAGUUAGAGGAAGAAGAUGAAGCUUGAAGGUGGAGGAGGCAAACCAGCCGUUUAAGUUUAGUUUUUUUAGGUUUAGUGUAAACCGAUUUGGUGGUUUAGUUCUGUAAACCUAAAUUUCAUUUGUAAACCAAUUUUAAUUUAUAAAUAAAAUUUAUUUUAUUUUUAA